AUAAUUGAAACCCAGCAGGGAAGAUACCAUGAUCACAAAGGUGGUUUUCUCAGGGUGAGGCCCAUUCAUUGCACUCUGGGUGUGCUGGCUCUUCCUAUUUCCCCAAAUACAGCAAACUCGACUGUGUAAUUUGUGGUAGUGGGAGACUGCAUUUGUGCUUUCCCCUG